GUGGCAGACGGGUGAGUAAUGCAUAGGAAUCUACCUAGUAGUAUGGGAUAGCCACUAGAAAUGGUGGGUAAUACUGUAUAAUCCCUGCGGGGGAAAGAUUUAUCGCUAUUAGAUGAGCCUAUGUUAGAUUAGCUAGUUGGUAGGGUAAAGGCCUACCAAGGCAGUGAUCUAUAGCUGGUCUGAGAGGAUGAUCAGCCACACUGGAACUGAGAUACGGUCCAGACUCCUACGGGAGGCAGCAGUGGGGAAUAUUGGACAAUGGGCGAAAGCCUGAUCCAGCUAUGCCGCGUGAGUGAGGAAGGCCUUAGGGUUGUAAAACUCUUUCAGUGGGGAAGAUAAUGACGGUACCCACAGAAGAAGUCCCGGCAAACUCCGUGCCAGCAGCCGCGGUAAUACGGAGGGGGCAAGCGUUGUUCGGAAUUAUUGGGCGUAAAGGGCAUGUAGGCGGUUCGGUAAGUUAAAGGUGAAAUGC
rnacentral:rRNA from 1 species